GUGACUCUGUUGGGACAAAGUGGGCUCUACCUGUUGAUCACACUCCGACGAUCAAGUCAGCGAGAGCAUACAAAAUAAGGUAAGAUUUAGUUUCAGUCUAGUAUUCAGAAACAACGUACCUCCUUUACUGAGGGUCUCAAGCCCUUUUUAUAACAUAACUAUCUCUUUAACGACUUUCUCUUAAUAGACUAUAAUCUCAACUGAAAGCAUAACAAAAAUAAUAUUCUGCCUACGACACCUUUACUCACGAUGUUAACUUGCAAAAGAGAAUCUCGUGUGCCCUUAUUAUUGGGUGCUCACCAUUUAACUAAUAUCGCCAUAUAUAAUUAACAACUUUAUGCACAUAUUUAUUUAACUAACAACUUUAUGUAUAUUCACAUAUAUUAUAUUCUAACAACUUAAUGUAUAUAUCUACAUAUAUAUUUAACUAAUAAUCUUAUCAACAUAUGAUCAACUUGUUAUUUUCUCUAUUUAAAUCAUCCUCCAUCAGGCUUACUAAUGAAAUUGGGCCGGACUCACGACCUACCCUUUGGGCCUAAAAAUCGAGCUGACCACACCCACGCCCAUGAACCGAGGUCCCGACACACGAGCACUCUGUCCAGUACAACUAUUAAUACAAGUUAAUUGAUUAAUCAAUUUUUAAAUAAAAGCCUCUUUAUCUUUCGUGUGAAGCUUGACUAGUUUAGGUGCCUUUUAGUCUAAAUACAACAUACCUGGCUUGGACUCUUUUUGUUGUAUAAGAGUUUAACACCUUUUUGUGCCAGUUAUUUAUUGAGUCUUCAUUGCUCAGAAACAAGAAAAAGGUUGCCUAUAUCUAGCCGAUUAAAAGAGUUUCUGAUUAAAGAUUUGGGUUUUUUUUUUAUGUAAUCAAUAAAUGAAAACAAUAACAAAAAUAAAAGCUUUAAAAUUGAAAUUGAAAUGUAAAGGGUAGUGUAGAGCAAUGCUGCAAUAUAUUGGUGUAUGGAAUAGUUGUAUUUAAGUGGAUUUGAUAAUUACGUAAUAUUUAAUCAUUCUUGUUAUAUGAAAGUCGAUGUUGUUAUAUGACUUUAGGGUAUUAUUUCUAUUGCAUAAGGAAGUGUGUCAUUCACAUGGUUUUUUUAGGAACUGAUCAAGUAAGUAUACCCAUUGGGUCCAUGUAUCUCCACACCAUCAAAGCCUUGAAUAAAUAAUCAGUUUAAUAAUAUUUAUUAACUUUGUCUCGUUCUCCCAUUCAUUAAUAUGAACUUUUUAGUAACACUAUCUUUUGGUCCUUUAUCACACCAUGGAGAUGCCACUAUGAUGAGAAUGUAUGUAAACUACUGCCUAACUUUCUUACCUAUAGAGACAUAUUUUUAUUUUCUCUUAAGUAAAAUAUAUGUAAUUUAUUCUAUAUUCUGAAUAGUUUAAUUAGUAUGUUGUUGUUAGUGUAUUUUUUUUUUUUUGAAAAAAAGCAGCAUCCGAUUGGAACUCUUCUUGCUAAUACAGGAAUUCAUAUUGGAUGACUUCAUAAAAAUUAAAUUAUGAGUUUCAUAUAUUCAUGUGAGUGUAGCUAUCUAUUUUGUGUAGGCUACCUUUAGAUUUCUUUCCAAUUCUUGGUGUUUUUAUUGAUGAAACUAAGAAAGAGCCUUAACUAGGGGAAACAAAUAAAAGUAAGAGUGCUUAACAAAAUUAGAAUUGAUUUACUACUGACAUCUUAGUGACCUUUGUAGAAAUCAUCUUUCCACAUGUUCAACUAUAUUUUAUCUCAAUCUUUGUACGUCUGAUUGAUUUAUAGGUACACUAUAGAGUAAAUAUAAGUAAUGUAUUGUUUCCUUGUGAAGGUGAAGAUAGUGUGAAGUGGAGCUUUAACUACUGAAAGAUGUCAGUUGUGCGAUAAACAAGCUUAACUCAUUUAUCAUUUUAAAUAUUCAAAGCACAUGUUUACUAUUUUGUUUAUUUAAUGGUUAAAAGUUUUCUGGAAAUAUUUGGAUUCAUUGACCUAGAUUUUUUUAGUAAUCCUUAUUGAUAAAUUUAGUGCAUCAUCUUUAGAAAAGUCUAUUUUAAUAGUGAUUUUACCUUUAAUUAAAUUAUAUUAGUUUUUUAAAUUUGACUCAAUUCAAUUAGUGCAUAAUUAUAUUUAAUUAUUGCAAUAAUUGAGUUAGUAUGAUAUAUGGUAGGUAUUGUAAGUCUACUCUACCAUUCUGAUUCAUUUAUUUGUUCCCAUCUUCUCUCACCAACACACAUACUAGCCAUUCUUUAAAAAUUUACUUGCUAGCUCCAAGUCAAGUUCUGUAACUUGUGAUUAACUCAUUAAAUUGGAAGAUGACAAGUAUUUAUUUUCUUUCAUUCUUAUUAUUGUUCAAACUUAUUAAUUAGUUUUUAGACACUUACAAUAUAUGAUGAUUUUUUGUCUAUUAGAUUAAAGAUGAUGGACAAAGAGUGGACUAAAUUUUCAAGAUUUAGUAAAGAGUAUAUUAAUGGUGUUGAGUUAUUUUUAGAUUUUUCAUACACUAGUGGAAGACUUCAAGGGAAUGAGAUUUUAUGCCCUUGUUCUAAGUGUAGAAAUCAUUGUUGGGCAAAAAGAUAUGUGGUCUAUGAUCAUUUAAUAGUUAUAGGCUUUGUAAAAGGAUAUAACAUUUGGGUAAACCAUGGGGAGGAAAUAUCAUCGUUGCCUAUUGUAAAUUCAACAGUUUAUAAGGAGUGAGAGAGAGAGAGAUUACACAGCCAAUAUAUAUUGGUUCACUCAACCUUGAGCUACAUCCAGUUUUCGAAACAACCAUUGGGUUCCACUAGUAACCAAUCACAAAUUACAAUCCACACAACCACAAAGAGGUGAUCUUGAUACCACAAGAACCACUCAACCUCUUUGCCAAACACACAACCUUAGUCAAAACACCCUCUGACUUUACAGGCUUUCACACACUUCACAACUUUAUAAAAGAACAAAUAAAAUAAUCAUAAAAGGAACAAAUUACACCUGGAUUUACACGAAUCACAGAGCUCCUAUGAUUAGACCUUGAACCAAUGCAUAACUACUUAGCAAUCUUGCAAACCUUUGAAAUUUUUUUCUCAAAAUCAAUCUCAAUCUGACUGUAUUUGAUAUCUUUUUUUUCUGUAUUUUGUUUUGAAAGGAAAGCCAUAUUUAUAGCUUUCAAAACUAGCUAUUCUAGGCAACAAUCAUGAUUCAAAACAGUUUUGAUUCAAUUGCAAAACAGAUUAACAGGGUUUUGAAAAACUGUUAUGAAAUGUGACAAUCAACCGGUUGAAAAGUUGUUUUAACCGGUUGAAUUAGUUAGACAAUUAUUUAAUUAAGUCAAAAACAGUUUUGAAAACCUUCAAUCAAGCUAAGUGACAAACAACCGACUAUAUCAUGGUUUCAACCGAUUGUUUUUCUCUUUGCUUAGAAAAACACUUUUCCCUUUUAAAAAGAUUGAACUAGCUUUGUGCAAAGGACUAGGAAUGAUCUUUUACAAGAUUUCUAAAUACCCUAGACUAAGCUCAAUCCAAAAGCAGCACAACAUCAACAAAAAACCUCCAACAUAGAUUUGAAUCAUUAAAGCUUCCAUGUUCCACAAUCACCCCCUAUUUGAUGGAGACAAAUCCUUGGGAUGCUUUUUGGAAUGUUCUGUUUAGAAUCUUGCUUAACCUACAUUCAUAAGCAAACAGAAAAAAACAGGGUAAUCUAUUCCAAUCAAACAGGCACCACACAUUAGUUUCCACUAGGUGAUUUCCAACGAGGAACAUUAGCCAAAUCAAUGUGAGAAACCAGUCAAACAUACAUAGGUGCAACACAGAAAAAUAAUCGGUUAUUUCGCAGGAAUAACUGGUUAAAAUUUGUAUAAGAGUUUGUAUCAGAUCAGAGUUUAAAAAACCAGUUAAAGCAAUGUUCAAACAAGUAUGCAAAACAAAAGCAAAUGAAAGUAUUGAGAACAUUUCAACCCAAAGCUUACCAAAGCUCACUUCUCCCCCUAUUUGUCUUCACAAAUAGACAAAAAGAAGGAUUAAGAAAACAACAUAGAUUUAAGAUAAAACUUGUAAAUCAAUUAUUCCCAAUUCAUUCCUUAAUGAAUAAAACCUGUCUUUUUGGAUAAGGGUUUUGUGAAAAUGUCUGCAAGCUGGCUUUCAGUGGCAACGAUUUGAAUCUCACAAUCUCUAUUAUUGACAUGGUCACGAAUGAAGUGAUGUCUAAUCUCAAUAUGCUUGGUUAUGGAGUGCAAAACCUAAUUCUUUGUGAGAUUUAUGGCACUUGUGUUGUCACACAAUAAAGGGACCUUGCUUAUUUUCAACCCAAAGUCUUCAAUUUGUUGCUUUAUCCAUAAGAUUUGUGCACAACAACUCCCUGUAGCUAUAUACCCAGCUUCAACUGUUGAUAAUGCUACACAUGCUUGCUUUUUGCUGUGCCAUGAUAUAAGGCUUGAUCCAAGUAAAUGGCAUGUCCCACUUGUGUUGUUUCUAUCUAAUUUACAACUUGCAAAAUUAGAGUCAGAGUAUGAUGGAAGAGUGCCUUCAUUCCGAUUGGAUUUCAUGGUGGAGAGGUGCGGAAGCUUCACAAAUUGGAGCGGACAAGGAGCUCACUUAGAGCUUGUGGAUUCCUUGAAGGUGAAGGAUAGGUAUGGAGAGUGAUAGGUGAGGCCUAAUCACUUGGUCUAGUGGAAAAGUUGAAGAUCAAACGUCUAUCCUAGGGAGGGUAGGAGACAAGAGUGUAAUUGGCACAAAUUUGGUAGCAAUUCACUCAUUUGAUUAAUCUUACAUAAUGAGAGCCAAGAACCUCAAUUUAUAGGAGAGAGGGCUGAACAUUUUGGAGCCAAAAGUUUAAAAUUCAAAAAUAAAACUCUCCAAUGAGAAUGUGCCAUGUGGAGUCAUGCUUUCAAUGUUUAGCUCACACCUUCCAUGCGAAAUCCUCUCCACUCCUAUGUUGCCAUGUGUACGACCAUGUGCUCCAUGCCAAGGUAUUUUCGUUUUCCAAUAUGUCCUAGACGUUUUAGGGUUACAUUGGGCUCAAAGAAGCCCAAUUGUUACCUUAACUAGUCACUUUUAACCCUAACUAGUCAAAUUUUACUAUUGGCCCAAAUACAAGCCCAAAAACCUAUACUACUUUGCCCAAUAUUUGGUCCAUUUAUUUUAUGCUACUAGGCCCAAUACAUGGCCCAUUAAAUCCUAAACAACUUUAUACAAUUUAUUUAAGCUAAAGCUUGGCCCAAAAAUAAUGUUGACUAGUCAGCAGAAACUCAGUCUUCUUGUGUUCUUCUGACCAAAGCUCUAGUUUAUGUUUUGAUGACUUUGAGGGCUUCUUAGAUAUGUUUGUACAUUCCUUCAGCCUAGAGUUGUCCUCUUGAUUGGGCCUACAAAAAUAAACAAAAGCCCAAUUUAGACCCAUAUUUGCAAUUAAAUCAAUAAACAACCUCUAGGUUUUCAUCCUUAUUGUAUGGUUGUGUGAGGUUGGACGGUUUCCAUUAGAGUAUCCUACUAAAUGAAUAGGAGAGUGUGAAGGAUAUCAUAAACACAUAGAUGUUGUGCCUUUAAGAUACUUUAGGAUUCUUUUGGCAACUUUAAGAUGAGAUUCACUUGGACUAGAUUGGAACCUUGCACAAAGGCAAACAUCAAACAUAAUAUCAAGUCUACUUGCACUAAGAUAUAGUAAAGAACCUAUCAACCCCCUGUAUUUAGUUUGGUCAACUGUUGUUCCAGCUUCAUCAACACUUAAGUAAUAGUCUGUAGACAUAGGUGUUGUUGCUGCUUUACAACUCUCCAUCUCAAACUUUUUGAGUAUGUAAUUGCAAUACUUGGAUUGACACAAGAAGAUGCCUUCUUUGGAUUGCUUGAUUUUCAACCCAAGAAAGAAAGAGAGCUCCCCCAUAAUUGACAUCUCAAAUUCUCCCUACAUAGAUUUUACAAAAUCUUCGCACAAUUUAUCAUUAGAAGAUCCAAAGAUAAUGUCAUCAACAUAUAUUUGGACUAAGAUUACAGUAAAAUCUAUUUUUUUUUUAAUGAAAAGGGUUUUAUCAAUCUUCCCUCUUUCAUAUUGAUGAGAUAUAAGAAAACAAGUUAACCUUUCAUACCAUUUCCUUGGUGCUUGCCAAAGAUCAUACAAGGCUUUGUUCAACUUGUAUACAUGAUUACGAUAUUUGUGAUCUUAAAAUCCAGGUGACUGUGAAACUUAAAUUUCUUCAUUCACAAUUCCAUUUAGGAAAGCGCUCUUCACGUCCAUCUGAAAUAACUUGAACUCAUUCAUGCAAGCAAAGGCCAAUAAGAGUCUUACAGCUUUUAACUUGCUAUUGGUGUAAAAGCCUCAUCAUAAUCAAUCUCUUCUUCUUGGUUGUACCCCUUAGCAACAAGCCUUGCUUUGUUCCUUGUGAUGACACCUGAAUCAUAUGACUUGUUCCUAAAAACCCAUUUUGUUCCUAUUACAUUCAUUUGAGCUGUUAUAGGAACCAGGACCCAUACAUCAUUUCUCACAAACUAGUUGAGCUCCUCAUGCAUAGCAGCAGUCUAGUGCUCAUCCUUGAGUGCAUCAUUGAUUGACUUUGGUUCAAUCUUGGAGACAAAUGUUGUAUGAUUGCAGAAGUUUGCCACACUCAUUGUAGAAACACCUUUGUUGAUAUGCCCAAUGAUGUUUUCAACAGAGAGAUCUCUGGGGAUCCUCCACUGUUUUGGAAGAUCAUACUGCUGCAGAUUUUCAAUCGGUUGUUUUGCAGAAUCAACCGGUUGAAUUUCUGUGCAGUUUUCCAGAUUCUUCAUGAAGAUAUUAUGCUCAUAUUCUUUUGUACUGAUCUUUGCUGAACCUUGCUCAGAUUUGUUAGUUUCAUCAAAAUCAACAUGCAUAAAUUCUUCAACAAUCAUAAGUUUCUUACUGUAAACCCUAUAUUCAUGGCUAGAUAGGGAGUAUCCAAGAAAAAUACCUUUGUCAGCUUUAGCAUCAAACUUACCCAAAUUUUCUUGACCAUUAUUUAGGAUGUAGCCUUUGCAUCCAAAAACCUUUAGCUGUUCUAUGUGAGGCUUCCUUCCAUUUAGCAGCUCAUAUGAGGUCUUUUUCAUGAUUGGUCUGAUAAGAAAACGAUUCAUCACAUAACAUGCUAUACUUACUGCAUCAGCCCAGAAGCGCUUAGGUAAGGAUGAUUCAUUCAAAAUUGUCCUUGCUAGUUCCUCAAGUGAUAUGUUCUUUCUCUCCACCACUCCAUUUUGUUGAGGUGUUCUUGGUGCAAAGAAGUUGGAAGAUACCUAGCUUGUUGCAAAAGUUGCUGAAUUUCUCAUUUUGAAAUUCUCCACCAUGGUCACUCCUAAUUGCACCAAUGUUGCUACAACAGGUGUUUUGCAACCUUUUUGCUAACUUCUUGAAUUCAGGAUAGGCCUCCUUCCUUGAGUGUAGGAAUAUGGCCCACGUAAACAUGGAAAAAUCAUCUACAACCACAAGAGCAUACAAAUUUCCUCCAAGGCUCAUAGUUAUAGAAGGACCAAAAAGGUCCAUGUGUAGUAGUUCAAGAGGUUUUGAGGUGGAAACAAAGUUUUUCAGUUUAAAAGAUUUUCUUGUUUGUUUCCCCUUUUGGCAAGCCUCACACACAUGUUCCUUCUCAAACCUAAGUUUGGGUAAGCCAAUUACAAGGUCAUUUGAAAUCAAUUUAUUCAAAUGAUGCAUAUGUAUGUGUGCAAUUCUUCUAUGACAAAGCCAUGAUUCCUCAUGCUUUGUUAAAAUACAACCGAUUGAUGUAGAGUUAGAGAUAUCAAGCAAAUAGACAUUAUUUGGUCUCUUACCAACCAACAGAACUUCCUUUGGGUUUGGCAACCAAAUCUCACAAGAAUUAGUUCUGAAAGUGACUUGUUAGCUGAUAAGUGCCUAAUUUUAGUAAUAUUUCAUAUUAAAAUAUAGACAAUUAUGAGGAUUUCUUGCUAAUUUACAUAUAAAAUAAUAUCUAAUUUAUGAAUUUAUACAUUUUUAUAUUUUUUAUGAGUUUUAUUUGAAUAAGAGCAUUUUAUUCCCAAAUUUGGUUUUAAUUACAGAUUUCUAGGGAGGAUUGAAGAUUUGAAGCAAAGGAGAAUAAUUUGAGCUAAAAAGAAAAAGAUAGAAGGUCCCAGAAUGGAAAAAGAUGCAAAGAAAGAUAGGGCCUUUUUUAUGUUAUAUAUUUUUUAUGAGUUUUAUU
rnacentral:lncRNA from 1 species